AAUACUUGGUUAACUUACAAUGACUAACUUACAAUGACUAUCCUCCUAAAUUAAAUUAGUUAGAUGGAAAGAUUUUUGUCUAUGGAAUGAUCCUGUCACUUUACUGCCACACAUUGUGUGUGUCAGUAAAGUGAUGAGGUAGGAGAAUCCGUGUAUGGAUUGUUUUUUGGUUUUUCAGAUUUGGUUUUGAAACUGAAAAAGGGCAAAAGGAAUAAACAAAUAAACGGCAUUUGAUUUUG